CCUUUAGAGUUUGGAUCCUGGCUCAGAUUGAACGCUGGCGGCAGGCCUAACACAUGCAAGUCGAACGGUAACAUUUCUAGCUUGCUAGAAGAUGACGAGUGGCGGACGGGUGAGUAAUGCUUGGGAACUUGCCUUUGCGAGGGGGAUAACAGUUGGAAACGACUGCUAAUACCGCAUAAUGUCUUCGGACCAAACGGGGCUUCGGCUCCGGCGCAAAGAGAGGCCCAAGUGAGAUUAGCUAGUUGGUAAGGUAACGGCUUACCAAGGCGACGAUCUCUAGCUGUUCUGAGAGGAAGAUCAGCCACACUGGGACUGAGACACGGCCCAGACUCCUACGGGAGGCAGCAGUGGGGAAUAUUGCACAAUGGGGGAAACCCUGAUGCAGCCAUGCCGCGUGUGUGAAGAAGGCCUUCGGGUUGUAAAGCACUUUCAGUUGUGAGGAAAAGUUAGUAGUUAAUACCCUGCUAGCCGUGACGUAC
rnacentral:rRNA from 1 species